ACUGCGGAGCCGCUGGAGCGAGGCGGAGGCUCGGGACGCGGCGCCACGAGGACUUCUCGAAUCAUUCAGAAAUAAGCAGUUAUUAAAUAUUCAGUAAUUUCCAUGGGAGGAAGAUACAGACCAUCAAGGCCCCAGUUCUCUGCCAUCUUGAGCCUUUCGUGGCGAUCUGCAGCAGCACAGACAAGUAUGAAGCACUGAGAGACUGAAGACAGUGUUUAAACCUGACUUCACUUCAGUGUAAAUGAUGACACAGGGUUCAGAUCGACAGAGAACAAGGAGUAAAACAGCAAAAGCACUUAACGUGCCUCUUUUAAAAGUAAUUUUUUAGUAGUUAAAGAUGAAGGGGCUGUAUAAAAUAUCUCUAUAAAAAWUUUUUCUGCACAUAUGUUUAUGUUUACAUGUCCUAACAGAAGAUGAUGSGCCACGUUAUUUUAUGUGCAGGAUUGUUUCUUAGGGAAAUCUGCAUCACUUUAUUGAUUUCAGGCAGUGAUUUUAAGACAGUUAAAGCAACAAACCCGGCUAAGUUUUUAAUGGUGGGAAUAGCAUUCUCUUUCGCUUAGAUUUGCCCUUCAUGUUACUUGUGUUUCAUAAUCCUACCAGCUCUCCAUUUUAUCAUUACAGGGACAGAACCUGUACUCUAAAAAAGGAGC